rnacentral:rRNA from 1 species
AUUGAACGCUGGCGGCAGGCUUAACACAUGCAAGUCGAACGCAUCGCAAGAUGAGUGGCAGACGGGUGAGUAACGCGUGGGAACAUACCCUUUUCUACGGAAUAGCUCUGGGAAACUGGAAUUAAUACCGUAUACGCCCUACGGGGGAAAGAUUUAUCGGGGAAGGAUUGGCCCGCGUUGGAUUAGCUAGUUGGUGGGGUAAGGGCCUACCAAGGCGACGAUCCAUAGCUGGUCUGAGAGGAUGAUCAGCCACAUUGGGACUGAGACACGGCCCAAACUCCUACGGGAGGCAGCAGUGGGGAAUAUUGGACAAUGGGCGCAAGCCUGAUCCAGCCAUGCCGCGUGAGUGAUGAAGGCCUUAGGGUUGUAAAGCUCUUUCACCGAUGAAGAUAAUGACGGUAGUCGGAGAAGAAGCCCCGGCUAACUUCGUGCCAGCCGCCGCCGUAAUAC